rnacentral:rRNA from 1 species
GAUGAACGCUAGCGGCAGGCUUAACACAUGCAAGUCGAGGGGUAUAGUUCUUCGGAACUAGAGACCGGCGCACGGGUGCGUAACGCGUAUGCAAUCUACCUUUUGCAGAGGGAUAGCCCAGAGAAAUUUGGAUUAAUACCUCAUAGUAUGUGAGAAUGGCAUCAUUUUCACAUUAAAGUCACAACGGCAGAAGAUGAGCAUGCGUCCCAUUAGCUUGUUGGUAAGGUAACGGCUUACCAAGGCGACGAUGGGUAGGGGUCCUGAGAGGGAGAUCCCCCACACUGGUACUGAGACACGGACCAGACUCCUACGGGAGGCAGCAGUGAGGAAUAUUGGACAAUGGGCGCAAGCCUGAUCCAGCCAUGCCGCGUGCAGGAUGACGGUCCUAUGGAUUGUAAACUGCUUUUGUACAGGAAGAAACACUGGUUCGUGAACCAGCUUGACGGUACUGUAAGAAUAAGGAUCGGCUAACUCCGUGCCAGCCGCCGCAGUAAAAC